rnacentral:lncRNA from 1 species
UUCUUUAUUUUUUUUUUAGAUUCAGUUUUUGACAUGAUCUUCCUUCUGUCAGUAGACACCAAGCUUCAGGGAAGGAUUCAUCCAUUCUUUCUCUCUUCUGUCCAUUCUCCCUCCUUCCCUCUCCCUACCACUCUUUAGCCAUUCUGAUGCAUAUCAAUAGGCAUAUAGUCAAUAAGAAACAUAGCUAGCUGUAAAAUGGCUCUACUCAGAGGGCAGCUGCUUCCCACCAGGCAUAGUUUGCUUCCAUUUCCAUGGACAAAUAUCAUUUUCAUUAUUAUUAAUUUUAAAAUAACAAAAAGAAUGCAAAUAUUUGGUGAUAUUUUUAUCCAAAUGAUAAUGGCUCAGGUUAAAAUCAGAAUUAAAAUGUGUAUAUAGACAUGAAGCUUGGUUUCAAAAAAUAUGUGUGUUGUGUAUAUGUGUAUAUGUGUAUAUGUUGUGUAUAUGUGUAUAUGUGUAUUGUGUAUAUGUGUGUUGUGUAUAUGUGUAUAUGUGUGUUGUGUAUAUGUGUAUAUGUGUAUUGUGUAUAUGUGUGUUGUGUAUAUGUGUGUUUCUGUACAGACUGACACACUAGGUUCAGCUAUUAGAACUGCGGUAAACUACAAUGAGCCUCCUUAGACUAACUUUGGAAAGAGGUAAAAUGUCAAAAGUCAGAUAAAAAUUUAUUUUAGAAACUUGUAGAGUCAUAGCAAAUUAGCCAGGUAAAGGACUCCAAGCCAUAAUGUGGCUUUACUUCAGUCUUAGUCCACAAUCACAAAGAACAAUUACCUAGUGAUUAAUUAAUUCUAGCAUCAAAAUACAAAAUGGGACAUCAACUAUCUGAUUCAUUUUAUGAGCACGGAUGAUUUUGUUUCAACAAUUUGAUUAAAAUGUCUUUAAAAAUUUAUGAACUGGGAUCAUUAAUCAGCAAACAAGGCAGGGCUGUAUCACAAUUAUUAUUUACUACCAGCAACUAAAUUGUUCUCACAGUCAGUGGCAUCUUAAAGGCACAUGAGAGUGGAACCUUUGAUUCCUCGCUUUCCUAUGCCCCUGCAUCCUGUCCAUAUCAGUCUGUGGGCUUCCUCUACUAUGCAUUCAGAACCUCCAUGGCCCUUCACCACGGCCACUACCUAGGACAAGCCACCAUCAUCGCUCCUAGUUCUGCAGCUCUCUCCCUUUCAGGCUCCCUGGUUCACUGUUUCUGCCAAUGGUUUAUUUUUACCAUGUAAACAGAAUGAUCUUUUAAAUGUUAUUCUCUUGCCUAAAACCUUCCAGUGUUCUUUCAUGUAGUGUAGAAUAAGAAACUACCCUGUUGUAGCUACUUUCUGUUGACCAAGCCAGUUUUGGGGAGGAGUGGGUUUAUUUAGCAUAUAAGUCACAACCAUCACUAAAGGGAGCCACAGCAGGAAUCUAGAUCCAGGGUCUGAAGUGUACGUGUGUGUGUGUGUGUGUGUGUGUGUGUGUGUGUGUGUGUGUGUGUGUGUGUGUAGGGAAAUGGGGUGUGGGUGCUGCUUACUGGCUUGCUUAUCAUGGCUCAUUCAGCUUGCUUUCUUAUAUAAUCCAGGACCAAGAGUGUAAGAAUGGUUCUGUCCACAGUGGGCUGGAUCUUUCCAUAUCAAUCAGUAAUCAAGAAAGUGCCCCACAGACAUACUUAAAGGCUAAUGGAUAUAAUUCCACAUUUGAGGUUACCUCUUUCACCGUGACUCUAGCAAGAUGACAAAAACUAACCAGCACAGUCCCAUGGUCAUCCAGUCACAUGACUUGGCACCGUCCAUUUUGCUAACAAGGUUUCCCUUGGCUCUGGUCAUUUCACAUGAGGCUUGUUUCCUCCUUACAGACGCUCCAAUUGUGGAUUUCUCUCUUCCAGGCAUUACCUUGCCAAAGAAGCUUUUUCUGGUCCCUCAGUGUCAAAUAUCCUGUCAUCCAUGCAGUCAUUCUCCCUGUUCAAACUAGAAUGAUCUUGCUUACUGUUGAUUGACUAUCUUCUAUCUUGAAAUAUAUGGUCCUUGUUCCCUGUGGUCUCCCUGGUAGCUUCCACAGCUUCUGAGAUGCCUAGUGAAUACUUAAAUGACCCUAGGAUAUCGAAUAGUAAUAAAUAAUAGCUAAAAAUAGAACACUUUGCAGUAGAACUGAGUAGUGCUUGCACUGCUUAGGCGAUAUUAGCUGUAGGAAAUUAUGUCCAGUAAUGAGCAAAAGUGCUCACAGGAAGUGGCAAUGUAGAAAUAGCGGUGAGCUUAGGGGUCUUUGCUUUGAUUCUGCCCCAGGUGACCUUCCUUUGAGAAGGUCUAACCUUUGCUUUUCUCCAUACCUUGUUAGGUUAGCAGACUCUUCAGAGUUCUGCCUUAUGCACCUGUGUGUCUGUGGGUAAGGCCCUGACAUCUUUUUCUCUACUUCCCUCUUGACACUUGAAAAAAAAGUAGUUUGCAUUAUGAUACAUGCUUAGAUAAUGUUUGUACAUUACUGG